rnacentral:rRNA from 1 species
GACGAACGCUGGCGGCGUGCUUAACACAUGCCAGUCGAACGGAAAGGCCCUGCUUUUGUGGGGUGCUCGAGUGGCGAACGGGUGAGUAACACGUGAGUAACCUGCCCUUGACUUUGGGAUAACUUCAGGAAACUGGGGCUAAUACCGGAUAGGAGCUCCUGCUGCAUGGUGGGGGUUGGAAAGUUUCGGCGGUUGGGGAUGGACUCGCGGCUUAUCAGCUUGUUGGUGGGGUAGUGGCUUACCAAGGCUUUGACGGGUAGCCGGCCUGAGAGGGUGACCGGCGACAUUGGGACUGAGAGACGGCCCAGACUCGUACGGGAGGCAGCAGUGGGGAAUAUUGCACAAUGGGAGGAAGCCUGAGGCAGCAACGCCGCGUGCGGGAUGACGGCCUUCGGGUUGUAAAACGCUUUCGCCUGUGACGAAGCGUGAGUGACGGUAAUGGGUAAAGAAGCACCGGCUAACUACGUG